AUUGAACGCUGGCGGCAUGCCUUACACAUGCAAGUCGAACGGCAGCACGGGAGCAAUCCUGGUGGCGAGUGGCGAACGGGUGAGUAAAGCAUCGGAACGUGCCCAGUCGUGGGGGAUAACGUAGCGAAGGCUACGCUAAUACCGCACACGAUCUGUGGAUGAAAGCGGGGGACCGUAAGGCCUCGCGCGAUUGGAGCGGCCGAUGUCAGAUUAGGUAGUUGGUGAGGUAAAGGCCCACCAAGCCGACGAUCUGUAGCUGGUCUGAGAGGACGACCAGCCACACUGGGACUGAGACACGGCCCAGACUCCUACGGGAGGCAGCAGUGGGGAAUUUUGGACAAUGGGCGCAAGCCUGAUCCAGCAAUGCCGCGUGCAGGAUGAAGGCCUUCGGGUUGUAAACUGCUUUUGUACGGAGCGAAACGGCUUCCACUAAUACUGGGGGCUAAUGACGGUACUGUAAGAAUAAGCACCGGCUAACUACGUGCCAGCCGCCGCAGUAAUAC
rnacentral:rRNA from 1 species